rnacentral:rRNA from 1 species
UACAGAGGUGGCAAGCGUUGUUCGGAAUUACUGGGCGUAAAGGGCGCGUAGGCGGCCCGUCAAGUCCCGUGUGAAAGCCCCCGGCUCAACCUCGAGACGUCGGCGGAAACCAUCUGGCUAGAGUCCGGAAGAGGAGAGUGGAAUUCCUGGUGUAGCGGUGAAAUGCGCAGAUAUCAGGAAGAACACCCGUGGCGGAAGGCGGCUCUCUGGGACGGUACUGACGCUGAGACGCGAAAGCGUGGGGAGCGAACA